rnacentral:rRNA from 1 species
AUUGAACGCUGGCGGCAUGCCUUACACAUGCAAGUCGAACGGUAACAGGUCUUCGGAUGCUGACGAGUGGCGAACGGGUGAGUAAUACAUCGGAACGUGCCCGACCGUGGGGGAUAACGAAGAGAAAGCUUUGCUAAUACCGCAUAAGAUCUACGGAUGAAAGCAGGGGACCGCAAGGCCUGGCGCGAACGGAGCGGCCGAUGGCAGAUUAGGUAGUUGGUGGGAUAAAAGCUUACCAAGCCGACGAUCUGUAGCUGGUCUGAGAGGACGACCAGCCACACUGGGACUGAGACACGGCCCAGACUCCUACGGGAGGCAGCAGUGGGGAAUUUUGGACAAUGGGCGAAAGCCUGAUCCAGCCAUGCCGCGUGCAGGAUGAAGGCCUUCGGGUUGUAAACUGCUUUUGUACGGAACGAAAAGACUCUUUCUAAUAAAGAGGGUCCAUGACGGUACCGUAAGAAUAAGCACCGGCUAACUACGUGCCAGCCGCCGCGGUAAGAC